rnacentral:rRNA from 1 species
AUUGAACGCUGGCGGCAUGCCUUACACAUGCAAGUCGAACGGUAACAGGUCUUCGGAUGCUGACGAGUGGCGAACGGGUGAGUAAUACAUCGGAACGUGCCCGAUCGUGGGGGAUAACGAAGCGAAAGCUUUGCUAAUACCGCAUAAGAUCUACGGAUGAAAGCAGGGGACCGCAAGGCCUUGCGCGAACGGAGCGGCCGAUGGCAGAUUAGGUAGUUGGUGGGAUAAAAGCUUACCAAGCCGAAGAUCUGUAGCUGGUCUGAGAGGACGACCAGCCACACUGGGACUGAGACACGGCCCAGACUCCUACGGGAGGCAGCAGUGGGGAAUUUGGGAAAAUGGGCGAAAGCCUGAUCCAGCCAUGCCGCGUGCAGGAUGAAGGCCUUCGGGUUGUAAACUGCUUUUGUACGGAACGAAAAGACUCUUUCUAAUAAAGAGGGUCCAUGACGGUACCGUAAGAAUAAGCACCGGCUAACUACGUGCCAGCCGCCGCCGUAA